AUUUUGGAUGUAGGCUUGUUAAACUCAGGGGCACUGUUAGUCACUAUGGAGUUCAAGAAGGAGCAUAUAUGCUUUAUGUUUCCUAUAAGUACCUUCCUUCAUUCUAUAAUUCAAAGAAGUUUCUUUUGUGUAAUUACAGUGGAGGCUUCAACCAAGUUCUUCCAAGUUUUCUAUGGUAUGAAUCAUGUAAGUUAUGGCUGAUUUUUUUUAAUAUUCAUUGUUGGUUGUGUCUACUGUAGUAUUCCUCUCUAUUUUGAUUAGAGGUUUGCAAGGAUGUUGUAGAGUUUCUAUUCUUUUGUCAAUUUUGGAUGUAGGCUUGUUAAACUCAGGGGCACUGUCUUUUCUAUCUCUUUUGCAGAGGACAAUCCAUUCUUGUUGGCAAUAGGAGGCUCAAAGG